UACUAGGACCCGAUGGAGCUGGUGCACAAGUACGGGGCGGACACGCUGCGGCAGUACCUCAUCAAUUCGCCGGUUGUGCGCGCGGAGAAUUUGCGCUUCAAGGAAGACGACAUCAAGGACGUGUUCCUGCUGUGGUUCAACAAGAUUGUUUAUCGAUAUGACGCGGGUCGUUACGCAAGCAAGCGCUCGACGAACGUGAUGGACGUGUGGAUUACGUCGUUCAAGGAGUCGCAGCUGGAGUUUGUGGCCAAGGAGAUGAAAGCGUUACUUCAAACAUGAAGAUUGAGCGUGCCGUUUCUCGGAAGCAGGCCGUCUUCAAGUUGAGCUGUGUUAUGCGCGAUCGUAGAACCGUCCCCAUCAAGUACCCGGUGACGGAGGUCAUCGUCAUCAACUAGAGCAAGGAAUAUCUGGACGACAUCAAAUCCCUCGUGAACUUUAUCCUCGACGAGCUCAACGUGCGCGAUAUCAUUCUCAGCUCGGACAAGCAAAAGUACAAGCAGGUCAUUCAUGCGGUAAAAGUACUCACGGACCCCCAAAUCGCCGACAAUCUAAAGCUGGGCUUCUUCAGCGUGCUCGGGCAUCGCAUCAAGCUGAACGAACUACGCUUUAUCUACCAGUUCGACGAGCAACAGGCCAGCGGCCGAAACACGGCAACGACAGCAUGGGCAGACAUGGGCACCGCCAGAAGCUUCCGCAUAUCGAGCUCCACGGUCAGCAGCAGCAACGUUUCGACCGCCAACCCACCAAAACACCCACGUCGAGAAGAUCCUUGCAACGCACGACGACGACCGUGGAAGAUCUGUUGUAAAAGUGUCCCGGCCCGCCGUCGGUCGGCAGCCCCGACAAAUUUUAUGAGCUGAAAGAUUUUAACCCACGGAACGCGGACAAAUUUGUUCCUGCUGCGCCGGGUCAGGAGUUUUGAGAUCUGAUCCUGUCGAUAUCUUCCUCGACUGUUCAAUCUUUCAGAAGAUUCUGCGAGGAGUCAACCAUGCGGGAGAUUGCCUUCGACAAGGUGCGUUUGGUGAUGGAUAUGAACCUGAUGGUUGUCAUGAUCGCCAGGACUCGCUCGAAUGUCAUCUAGCACCGAUUCCGCUAAGGACGAUGAAGAAGAAGACAAGCCGGAGCCGUUUUUGUCGCAAAUCGCGCCGUCGUCAUAAUAUCAGGCUGUUUAUCUGGAAGGCCGCCAGGAACUCCUAGAGGCAUUCAUCGACCUUCCUUCGAGCCUAGAUCAAGCUGCGUGAUCACCUGGGCAUUUUCGUAAUCUACAUGUGCGCUUACUUGUUCUUGAUGUGUCGAUUUGAUUCAUAUAAAAUAAUAAAAUAAUAUGGGUGGGGAAG